rnacentral:rRNA from 1 species
AUUGAACGCUAGCGGGAUGCUUUACACAUGCAAGUCGAACGGCAGCGCAGACUUCGGUCUGGCGGCGAGUGGCGAACGGGUGAGUAAUGUAUCGGAACGUGCCCAGUAGCGGGGGAUAACUACGCGAAAGCGUAGCUAAUACCGCAUACGCCCUACGGGGGAAAGCAGGGGAUCGUAAGACCUUGCACUAUUGGAGCGGCCGAUAUCGGAUUAGCUAGUUGGUGAGGUAACGGCUCACCAAGGCGACGAUCCGUAGCUGGUUUGAGAGGACGACCAGCCACACUGGGACUGAGACACGGCCCAGACUCCUACGGGAGGCAGCAGUGGGGAAUUUUGGACAAUGGGGGCAACCCUGAUCCAGCCAUCCCGCGUGUGCGAUGAGGGCCUUCGGGUUGUAAAGCACUUUUGGCAGGAAAGAAACGUCGCGGGCUAAUACCCCGUGGAACUGACGGUACCUGCAGAAUAAGCACCGGCUAACUACGUG